ensembl:lncRNA
GUGAGCCGCCAGCCCCCUCGGGACAGGAGGCGCGCGUCCCGAAAUUGCUAAGUGACCAGCCCUGGAGACACGUGCGCUGAGGGUGGCACCCUGCGCACUGUUUACACUAACCUGUCGUCUUCUCAGCCAACAUUUUACGGAUGAAGAGGACUCAGGCCGCGGUCCCCCCGGAAACAGCUGGCUUCACAGCUGAGAAAGUGCCCACAGACCCCUUCCUCUGCAGGCGGCUCCCUUGGCAACGCAGUGGAAGCCUGAGGAAUGAGCAGUCCAGCAAGCAGUGCAUUAGACGGUCAG